UGGGGAAUUUUGGACAAUGGGCGAAAGCCUGAUCCAGCAAUGCCGCGUGUGUGAAGAAGGCCUUCGGGUUGUAAAGCACUUUUGUCCGGAAAGAAAUCCUUGGCUCUAAUACAGUCGGGGGAUGACGGUACCGGAAGAAUAAGCACCGGCUAACUACGUGCCAGCAGCCGCGGUAAUACGUAGGGUGCAAGCGUUAAUCGGAAUUACUGGGCGUAAAGCGUGCGCAGGCGGUUUGCUAAGCCGAUGUGAAAUCCCCGGGCUCAACCUGGGAACUGCAUUGGGUGACUGGCAGGCUAGAGUAUGGCAGAGGGGGGUAGAAUUCCACGUGUAGCAGUGAAAUGCGUAGAGAUGUGGAGGAAUACCGAUGGCGAAGGCAGCCCCCUGGGCCAAUACUGACGCUCAUGCACGAAAGCGUGGGGAGCAAACAGGAUUAGAUACCCUGGUAGUCCACGCCCUAAACGAUGUCAACUAGUUGUUGGGGACUUCAUUUUCCUUAGUAACGUAGCUAACGCGUGAAGUUGACCGCCUGGGGAGUACGGUCGCAAGAUUAAAACUCAAAGGAAUUGACGGGGUCAUAGCUGUUUCCU
rnacentral:rRNA from 1 species